rnacentral:tRNA from 1 species
GUCCUGGGUAGCCUAGUGGACAUGGCAUCUGCCCGGUAACCGGAACACUGUGGGUUCGAUUCCCAUCCCUGGACA